rnacentral:misc_RNA from 1 species
AGAUUCAGGCCAAGGUGAUCUAGAAUUCAAAAAUGAGGUCUUGUUGGUUGCCAAGCUUCAACACAGGAAUUUGGUUAGGUUGCUGGGAUUUUGCCUAGACCGAACAGAGCGGCUUCUUGUCUAUGAGUUUGUUCCCAAUGCAAGUCUUGACCACUUCUUAUUUGAUUCAGUUAAACGUAGACAAUUGGAUUGGGAAAGGCGAUCCAAAAUCAUAGGAGGGAUUGCUAAGGGGAUUCUUUAUCUUCAUGAGGAUUCUAGGCUUCGGAUCAUUCACCGUGAUCUCAAAGCUAGUAAUGUUCUACUAGAUGCAGAAAUGAAUCCUAAAAUCUCAGAUUUUGGCAUG